AACCCUAGCAAAGGCUGUGCGUGUCUGCGUGCGUUUUCUGAUCUUUAUGUUUGUGAAGAAGAAGCUGCUUUUGAAGAAAAUGGCCCCUGCACCAAAUGCCGCUGUGAACCAACAAAACCAGUGCACCAUCUGAUUGGAGGGCCUGCCUGCGCGCACCAUUGUGGCGCUCCGCGGCAGCCAAACCUUCCAUUUGGAUAGCAGCCACCAUCUGGAGUUUACUGUAGACUUGAUCAGGGAUGAUGGCGGUCCUAUCAGAGAACACUACUCCUGUCGAAGCCUCUGUAGAGAAACCACCCAUAGGAUGAUGGGUUCAGUUAAUGGUUCUGGCCAGGCCUCAGUGUUGUCUCAUGAUACAAGUAUCACUCAUCCUCGUCUUGGCAUCAACAGAAGGCCGAAUCGUGGAUAUUCAUUUCAGGGUCUUAUGCAGAGAAUAACUCUGCACAACCAUAUCUUUUGUGGAUAUCGAGGCAUGCUGGGUUAGACAGAUUCACUUUGAUCCACUAAAAAGACUUUUGGCCAUGGGCACUUUUCGAGGAUGCUGGGUUGGAUAUCACUCAUCUUUGUCUUGGCAUUGACAGUAGGUUCUCUAUCAGCUCUUGAUCCUGUUUUUGUUUUUGAUCCCAUAACGAGGGAGUACAGAAGAUUGCCAACAUCAGGAGAAAAAGAUAUAGGCAGUCAUCCAGUCGGACUUGGUUUCGAUCCUUCAACAGGAAAGUACAUCCGUGGACAUAUGUGAAUGAAAGAAGAAGGUGCUAUGAAGUGACUACACUAGAAGUGAGUUCGUGGAGGAAAUUGGAGGUACUUGAUCGUUGCAGGCUUAUUUUGUAAAUGAACCUAUAUUCUGGAACAGAGCCAUUCACUGGGAAAGCCUCUCAAAUAGAAUGUGACUUCAUGAUAUCAUUUGACGUAUGUCAUGAGAGGUUUCGGAAGAUUUCAUUUCCCAAAUGUAUAUCUGACUUUGUCAUCAGUCCACGUGCUGAAGAUGUUGGCCAAUUAGGCCUUGGAUCACACCACGAUAAUAAUGGUCAAUUGCUCCUACCCCCAAGGUUUUAUCCCCGAUGGAUAUAACCACCUCACGUCAAUGAUCAAACCCAACGAACUUGAGCUGCUAGGCUUCAGAGGAUGCUCAAUUAUAGUAGAACAUGAUAACGAGCAGAUGAGAUUAUGGGAAGUGAUGGGUAACAAGCUCGAAGACCUUUCCAUCUGGUUUUGGGAUGAACAUGAUACUCACGUGCUGUGGAAUCCCCACAUGACUUAUAAAGUCGUUGGUAGGUUGAGCAGGGAAUAUUAUCUGUUGGAGUUAAGUGCUUGUUAUGGUGAUGUUCGGAACCAAAAAAAGCACUUCUCUCAGUUCCUUCGAAAAGGGCAAAUUACCUGCUGCUGGACAUCCCUGGCCUCCCUCCAAUGCUUAUUACGCUGGUGCAGCCCCUGUGGAGCAGUCGAUGAAUUUACCAUCUCCACCGAAGUCCAGCUCAAGCGGCCUGCUACCAGCUAAGCAAACAGCUUUUCAAGCUGAAGGAUCUGGAACGAUCAACAUCCAGUUGCCUGACGUUGGUGAAGUGGUGGUGGCUGUAAGUGCAGAUGUUCAACCGAGAGAUGGAAUAGAUGGUCCCGAGGGAUAUUAUUUCAGAUGGCGAGCCGUUGAGGUCCCAUUGGAGUGAUCUGACAGAGGAAAGCAGAUAAAUGGUUUGUUUUCGAACUGAUCCAAUCAUUAUGGUGGGGUCGUCAAGAAGCUGCCGGGACAAAUAAGUGAUUUUCUGAAGUGGACGAUCGUGGUGUGUUAAAAAUAGUUGGAAGCGAAAACCUUAUAUGCUUCAUUUAGGGUCAUGAAGAACCUGCUGCUUUCGUGAAAUUCUCGGUCAAUCACUUCUCGCUGCCUGAUCGCUAUUCGAAAUAGAUCUCUUUGGCAUUUGCAGGUGAAUGAAGUUAUCUGGUUGAAGAGUCUCACUUCAAUAUCGUUUGAUAUACUAAGAUCGAUUCAGAAAAGUAAUA